GAUGAACGCUGGCGGCGUGCCUAAUACAUGCAAGUCGAGCGAACAGAUGAGGAGCCUGCUCCUCUGACGUUAGCGGCGGACGGGUGAGUAACACGUGGAUAACCUACCUAUAAGACUGGGAUAACUUCGGGAAACCGGAGCUAAUACCGGAUAAUAUAUUGAACCGCAUGGUUCAAUAGUGAAAGACGGUUUUGCUGUCACUUAUAGAUGGAUCCGCGCCGCAUUAGCUAGUUGGUAAGGUAACGGCUUACCAAGGCAACGAUGCGUAGCCGACCUGAGAGGAUGAUCGGCCACACUGGAACUGAGACACGGUCCAGACUCCUACGGGAGGCAGCAGUAGGGAAUCUUCCGCAAUGGGCGAAAGCCUGACGGAGCAACGCCGCGUGAGUGAUGAAGGUCUUCGGAUCGUAAAACUCUGUUAUUAGGGAAGAACAAAUGUGUAAGUAACUAUGCACGUCUUGACGGUACCAAAUCAGAAAGCCACGGCUAACUACGUG
rnacentral:rRNA from 1 species